AGUGAACGCUGGCGGUAGGCCUAACACAUGCAAGUCGAACGGCAGCACAGUAAGAGCUUGCUCUUACGGGUGGCGAGUGGCGGACGGGUGAGGAAUACAUCGGAAUCUACUUUUUCGUGGGGGAUAACGUAGGGAAACUUACGCUAAUACCGCAUACGACCUACGGGUGAAAGCAGGGGAUCUUCGGACCUUGCGCGAUUGAAUGAGCCGAUGUCGGAUUAGCUAGUUGGCGGGGUAAAGGCCCACCAAGGCGAUGAUCCGUAGCUGGUCUGAGAGGAUGAUCAGCAACACUGGAACUGAGACACGGUCCAGACUCCUACGGGAGGCAGCAGUGGGGAAUAUUGGACAAAGGGCGCAAGCCUGAUCCAGCCAUACCGCGUGGGUGAAGAAGGCCUUCGGGUUGUAAAGCCCUUUUGUUGGGAAAGAAAAGCAGCAGGUUAAUACCCCGCUGUUCUGACGGUACCCAAAGAAUAAGCACCGGCUAACUUCGUG
rnacentral:rRNA from 1 species